GAAACGCGAUAGGUAAUGUGAAUUGCAGAAUUCAGUGAAUCAUCGAAUCUUUGAACGCACAUUGCGCCCCCCGGUAUUCCGGCGGGCAUGCCUGUUCGAGCGUCAUUUUCACACAUCAAGCACCGCUUGGAAUUGGGCCGUCGCACCACCCUCGCGGCGGGGCGGGCUCCAAAAGGGACGGCGACACCUGGCUGGCUCCCGGGCAGAGUAGACAACGCGAUGCCCGCGUGGACCGUCGGUGUCCCGCCGCUCGAAAACAACACCAAAGGUUGACCUCGGAUCAGGCAGGGAUACCCGCUGAACUUAA
rnacentral:misc_RNA from 1 species